rnacentral:lncRNA from 10 species
GCCUCCCGAGUAGCUGGGACUACAGGCGCCCGCCACUGCGCCCGGCUAAUUUUUUGUAUUUUUAGUAGAGAGGGGGUUUCACCGUGGUCUCGAUCUCCUGACCUCGUGAUCCGCCCGCCUCAGCCUCCCAAAGUGCUGGGAUUACAGGCGUGAGCCACCGCGCCCGGCCAGUUCAAUGGAUUUUAAAAAUUAUUAUUCUCUAGAAAAAAGACCACGAACUUUGGAGUGGACAUCCUGAGACCUGCCUACGAAGACCAUUAGGGUAAAGAAGUCACCCCUUCACCCCAGGACCAGGAAGCCUCCAGGAUGGCAUAAGCGACCAAACAGCUGGGAGCCAAGCACAGUGCAGGGGGCUUGGGGUCGGCGGCCGGAGGCUGGGGUGGUGGCCUCCAGAAGACACUCCCCUGAUUCCUACACCGAGGGAACACACAGCAGCAAGCUAGGAAAGAAGGGGUGACCCAGCCCAACGCUGUAAACCAGGGCGCGAACCGGCGUUGAGCUGUGCAGCUGCGCCCUGGGCUCCAGUCCUGCUCUGCCGCAGACCCCACCGGAGCCAGCACCUGCCUCCCCGACCCUCGCUGGGGCGGCUGUGAGAUGAGCCCAGAGCCUUCCUGAGCCAACCCUCGCAAGGAAAGUCUGUCUGUUCACCCCACUAUCCUUGUCUUGAAGGAUGAAGAAAAGAGGGCCCCCCGGGAGGUCCCAAAAGGUGGAAUGGACAUCUGGGAUCCAAGCACAGCAAUUUCUUUAUUUUUCUUAA